rnacentral:rRNA from 1 species
GGGAGUAAUGUCUGGGAAACUGCCUGAUGGAGGGGGAUAACUACUGGAAACGGUAGCUAAUACCGCAUAACGUCGCAAGACCAAAGUGGGGGACCGUUCGGGCCUCAUGCCAUCAGAUGUGCCCAGAUGGGAUUAGCUAGUAGGUGGGGUAACGGCUCACCUAGGCGACGAUCCCUAGCUGGUCUGAGAGGAUGACCAGCCACACUGGAACUGAGACACGGUCCAG